rnacentral:rRNA from 1 species
UACGGGGGGGGCAAGCGUUGUUCGGAAUUACUGGGCGUAAAGGGCUCGUAGACGGCCAACUAAGUCAGACGUGAAAUCCCUCGGCUUAACCGGGGAACUGCGUCUGAUACUGGAUGGCUUGAGGUUGGGAGAGGGAUGCGGAAUUCCAGGUGUAGCGGUGAAAUGCGUAGAUAUCUGGAGGAACACCAAUGGCGAAGGCAGCUCGCUGGGACGGUACUGACGCUGAGACGCGAAAGCGUGGGGAGCAAACAGG